rnacentral:rRNA from 1 species
AGGAUGAACGCUGACGGCGUGCUUAAGACAUGCAAGUCGAACGCAGACCCGGUAGCAAUACUGGGACUGAGUGGCGAAUGGGUGCGUAACACGUAGGUGACCUGCCCUGAAGUGGGGAAUAACAGUCCGAGAGGACUGCUAAUACCGCAUGCGGUUCGGCCGGUUAGAGGCGGCUCAACCAAAGGUCGCAAGAUCGCUUCAGGAGGGGCCUGCGGCCCAUCAGCUAGUUGGUAGGGUAACGGCCUACCAAGGCGACGACGGGUAGGGGACCUGAGACGGGUGCCCCCGACAACGUCGGCACUGACACACGGGCCAGACUCCUACGGGAGGCAGCAGUCGGGAAUAUUGCCCAAUGGACGAAAGUCUGAGGCAGCAACGCCGCGUGCGCGAUGAAGGCCUUCGGGCGUAAAGCGCUUUUCGGGAGAUGAGACAGGACAGUACUACCCGGAAUAAACGGUACGACUAACGUACCGUGCCAAGCAACGCCGC